rnacentral:tRNA from 1 species
CAGGGAGACAACAAAAUGUUUAAUAUUAUUAUUUUGUCACCUUAGGUCGAUCGGUAUCUCGCAUUUUUAAUUUAUUAAAAAUUUCAAUUCCUAAGUUUUUCUAGGUCACACCCAUUAUUUUUCCUGGGCCAUUAGCUCAGGUGGUUAGAGCGCACCCCUGAUAAGGGUGAGGUCCCUGGUUCAAGUCCAGGAUGGCCCAUAUCUCUAUGUUGGGGGUAUAGCUCAGUUGGUAGAGCGCCUGCUUUGCAAGCAGGAUGUCAGCGGUUCGAGUCCGCUUACCUCCACUGAUUACCACCUCUUCCAUAUUUUUUAGAAAGGAAAAUUUUUGUGUUGUGAUCAAAAUCUGAACGAAUCUAGCUUCCUAAUUAAAGUAUUAAGAUGCUGGACUCAUUGAAUUAAUUUCAUUGUUUUCAGAGAACCUUGACAACUGCAUAGAUUUUUUUUAAAGACAAUAAGCAUUUUUAAUGAUGCAGAUUUAUUAUUUUUGCGAAUGCAUUAAUAACAAUUCUAUUAAGCUGAUGCUUCAAUUAUGAAGUUAUU